rnacentral:rRNA from 1 species
UUAAAUUGAAGAGUUUGAUCAUGGCUCAGAUUGAACGCUGGCGGCAGGCCUAACACAUGCAAGUCGAACGGUAACAGGAAGCAGCUUGCUGCUUCGCUGACGAGUGGCGGACGGGUGAGUAAUGUCUGGGAAACUGCCUGAUGGAGGGGGAUAACUACUGGAAACGGUGGCUAAUACCGCAUAACGUCGCAAGACCAAAGAGGGGGACCUUCGGGCCUCUUGCCAUCAGAUGUGCCCAGAUGGGAUUAGCUUGUUGGUGAGGUAACGGCUCACCAAGGCGACGAUCCCUAGCUGGUCUGAGAGGAUGACCAGCCACACUGGAACUGAGACACGGUCCAGACUCCUACGGGAGGCAGCAGUGGGGAAUAUUGCACAAUGGGCGCAAGCCUGAUGCAGCCAUGCCGCGUGUAUGAAGAAGGCCUUCGGGUUGUAAAGUACUUUCAGCGGGGAGGAAGGUGUUGUGGUUAAUAACCGCAGCAAUUGACGUUACCCGCAGAAGAAGCACCGGCUAACUCCGUGCCAGCAGCCGCGGUAAUACGGAGGGUGCAAGCGUUAAUCGG